AACGUAGGACGCAAGCGUUAUCCGGAAUUACUGGGCGUAAAGGGCGUGCAGGCGGUCUUUUAAGUUAGGCGUGAAAGCUCCCGGCUAAACCGGGAGAGGUCGUCUGAUACUGGGAGACUAGAGUAUGGUAGAGGCGUGUAGAAUUCCGCGAGUAGUGGUGAAAUGCGUAGAGAUGCGGAGGAAUACCAGUGGCGAAGGCGGCACGCUGGGCCAUAACUGACGCUAAGACGCGAAAGCAUGGGUAGCGAACGGG
rnacentral:rRNA from 1 species